CAGUCAAUGGGGUCAGUGGGUUUUAUGGGGUCAGUCAAUGGGGUCAGUGGGGCGUAUGGGGUCGAUCAAUGGGGUCAGUGGGAUCUGUGGGGUCAGUGGGGCAAUCAGUGGGGUCAGUGGGAUCUAUGGGGUCAGUGGGGUCUAUGGGGUCAGUCAAUGGGGUCAGUGGGGUGUACGGGGUCAAUCAAUGGGGUCAGUGGGAUCUGUGGGGUCAGUGGGGCGUAUGGGGUCAGUCAAUGGGGUCAGUGGGGUGUAUGGGGUCAGUCAUGGGGUCAGUGGGGUGUAUGGGGUCAGUCAAUGGGGUCAGUGGGGUGUAUGGGUGUGAUCUAUGGGGUCAGUGGGGUGUAUGGGGUCAAUCAAUGGGGUCAGUCAGUGGGGUCAGUGGGAUCUAUGGGGUCAGUGGGAUCUAUGGGGUCAGUCAAUGGGGUCAGUGGGGUGUAUGGGGUCAAUCAGUGGGGUCAGUGGGAUCUAUGGGGUCAGUGGGGCAAUCAGUGGGGUCAGUGGGGUGUAUGGGGUCAGUCAGUGGGGUCAGUGGGGCAAUCAGUGGGGUGUAUGGGGUCAGUGGGGUCUAUGGGGCCAAUCAAUGGGGUCAGUGGGUUUUAUGGGGUCAAUCAGUGGGGUCAGUGGGAUCUAUGGGGUCAGUCAGUGGGGUCAUGGGGGUGUAUGGGGUCAGUGGGGUCUAUGGGG
rnacentral:lncRNA from 1 species